rnacentral:rRNA from 1 species
UGGUGGAGCGAUUUGUCUGGUUAAUUCCGAUAACGAACGAGACUCUGACCUACUAAAUAGUUGGCAGUUCAAUAAGACUGCAAAACUUCUUAGAGGGAUUAGCGGUGCUAAUCGCACGAGAUUGAGCAAUAACA